UGGGGAAUUUUGGACAAUGGGCGCAAGCCUGAUCCAGCAAUGCCGCGUGCAGGAUGAAGGCCUUCGGGUUGUAAACUGCUUUUGUACGGAACGAAACGGCUCUGGUUAAUACCUGGGGCUAAUGACGGUACCGUAAGAAUAAGCACCGGCUAACUACGUGCCAGCAGCCGCGGUAAUACGUAGGGUGCGAGCGUUAAUCGGAAUUACUGGGCGUAAAGCGUGCGCAGGCGGUUAUAUAAGACAGAUGUGAAAUCCCCGGGCUCAACCUGGUACCUGCAUUUGUGACUGUAUAGCUAGAGGACGGUAGGGGGGGAUGGAAUUCCGCGUGUAGCAGUGAAAUGCGUAGAUAUGCGGAGGAACACCGAUGGCGAAGGCAAUCCCCUGGACCUGUACUGACGCUCAUGCACGAAGGCGUGGGGAGCAAACA
rnacentral:rRNA from 1 species